CUGACCUUAGCUCGGUGGGUAGAGUGGUGGACUGUAGUUGGACUAAUCUAAAUUGGAAAUCCUUAGGCCGCUGGUUGGAUUCCGGCAGGUUGGA
rnacentral:tRNA from 1 species